rnacentral:rRNA from 1 species
UACGGAGGGGGCUAGCGUUGUUCGGAAUUACUGGGCGUAAAGCGCGCGCAGGCGGUUCUCCAAGUCAGUGGUGAAAGCCCCGGAGCUCAACUCCGGAACUGCCAUUGAAACUGUUGAACUUGAGGACGAGAGAGGUGAGUGGAAUUCCCAGUGUAGAGGUGAAAUUCGUAGAUAUUGGGAAGAACACCGGUGGCGAAGGCGGCUCACUGGCUCGUUUCUGACGCUCAGGCGCGACAGCGUGGGGAUCAAACAGG